UGAGAGCGGCGGACGGGUGAGUAAUGCCUAGGAAUCUGCCUGGUAGUGGGGGAUAACGUUCGGAAACGGACGCUAAUACCGCAUACGUCCUACGGGAGAAAGCAGGGGACCUUCGGGCCUUGCGCUAUCAGAUGAGCCUAGGUCGGAUUAGCUAGUUGGUGGGGUAAUGGCUCACCAAGGCGACGAUCCGUAACUGGUCUGAGAGGAUGAUCAGUCACACUGGAACUGAGACACGGUCCAGACUCCUACGGGAGGCAGCAGUGGGGAAUAUUGGACAAUGGGCGAAAGCCUGAUCCAGCCAUGCCGCGUGUGUGAAGAAGGUCUUCGGAUUGUAAAGCACUUUAAGUUGGGAGGAAGGGCAGUAAAUUAAUACUUUGCUGUUUUGACGUUACCGACAGAAUAAGCACCGGCUAACUCUGUGCCAGCAGCCGCGGUAAUACAGAGGGUGCAAGCGUUAAUCGGAAUUACUGGGCGUAAAGCGCGCGUAGGUGGUUAGUUAAGUUGGAUGUGAAAUCCCCGGGCUCAACCUGGGAACUGCAUUCAAAACUGACUGACUAGAGUAUGGUAGAGGGUGGUGGAAUUUCCUGUGUAGCGGUGAAAUGCGUAGAUAUAGGAAGGAACACCAGUGGCGAAGGCGACCACCUGGACUGAUACUGACACUGAGGUGCGAAAGCGUGGGGAGCAAACAGGAUUACAUACCCUGGUAGUCCACGCCGUAAACGAUGUCAACUAGCCGUUGGGAGCCUUGAGCUCUUAGUGGCGCAGCUAACGCAUUAAGUUGACCGGCCUGG
rnacentral:rRNA from 1 species